GUAAAAUAGAGAGAGUAUUAGAAAGGGGGGUUCCUUCCCUCCACUCAUUUACUAACACACAUCACCAUAGCACACAUCAUGUGGACACACACAGAUACAAUAUGUAUAGCAAAACCACUAGAUCUUUCACAUAACAAUUUGAAAUAUUCCUCUAACAUUACCUAAACAUCUUCCCUUGUUUGCUCCUUCCUCGGCCUCAUCACCAGAGCUGCCAUUCAAAUUGUCACUGCUGCUGUUGUCAUCCUCACACUGUUCCUCUGUAGGCCUAUACAGCUCAUCUUCCUCGACUUCCUCACUGGUUCCCUCCUCUGAAUCUGAUGAACCAUCAGGUGGCAAAACUACAGACUUCACCUCUCUCUUUAUUGUACUGUAGAAACUGCUGACAGAAAUUCCCUGAAAACGUGUACACUGGUGAAUUCAUCAAUAAUAUACAUUUGAGAGUAAAA